rnacentral:lncRNA from 1 species
CCAUGUUGGUUCCAGCACUUUUUACAAUAGCUAAGAUUUGGAAGCAACCUAACUGUCCAUCAGCAGAUAAAUGGAUAAAGAAAAUGUGGUACAUAUACACAAUGGAGUAGUAUUCAGCCAGAAAAAAAGAAUGAGAUCUGUCAUUUGCAACAACGUGGAUGGAACUGGAGGUCAUUAUGUUAAGUGAAAUAAGCCAGGCACAGAAAGACAAGCUUUGCAUGUUCUCACUUAUUUGUAGGAGCUAAAAAUUAAAACAAUUGAACUCAUGGAGAUGUAGUAGAAUGAUGGUUACCAGAGGCUGGGACAGGUAGUGAGGGUCUGUGCAGUGGGGAGAAGAUGGGAUGGUCAAUGGGUACCAAAAAGUUAAAGAGAAUGAAUAAGAACUAGUAUUUGCUAGCAUAACACAGCGACUAUAGUCAAUGAUCAUUUAAUUGCACAUAUAAAAAUAACUAAAAGAGUAUAAUUGGAUUGUUUGUAACACAAAGGAGAAAUGCUUGAGGGGGUGGAUACUCCAUUUUCCCUCAGGUGAUUAUUACACAUUGUAUGCCUAUAUCAAAAUA